CCUGAGAGCUAGCAAGUGCCUUACAGUGGUUCAUACUCUUAUAACACCACAGGGGAUAGGCUCCGGGGCUUCAGCAAAGGACAGAGCGCCAUGGCUUGGAAAUCUGUAUGUGAAGGGGACUUGAUGUUAGGACCACAGUUUCUGAGAGUUUAUCUCCUAUAAGAUGAAUCGCCUAGAGACGCCUGGUGCAUCUUUCUUUACACUUCACCUCCCCCACUGUGGAUGAGAAAUAGACUUUUCCCUCAUCCAUCAUAAGUCAGCGUGACAGGGCUGUCGGUCCUGCAGCCUGACCUACUGCAUCUUUCUUGUCUCAGCCGGCUUCAGCGCCUCGCUGCUUCCUCCGGAUUGGAGCUGGUCCUCUUUGCUGUCAGAUGGACUGUAUACAUCUGUCUGGACAGCAAUGAAGGAUGUUCCCACUAUCAAGUCAAACCUUUACAAGGAGAUAAUGCAAAAUUUCCUUGUUCUCUUAUUCAUCCUGAUUUUCUCAGUCACAGUGUGUUGGGCACACUGAUGCAGCCAUACCAGAACUUAAAGGCUAUGUUCAAAAGGAGAUGAAACUUCACACUGAUGAAGCCCUGUAUGUCAUGCAACCUGACUUCAGUUGCUAAGAUUGGGCUUGGUCCUAAUGGCUGGGAUUCUUGGCUGUCCAUUUGACUAAAUCUGGAAUUAACUAAACCCCAAGCAGUUGAGUACACCUGUGAGGGAUUUUUUUCCCCUCAACUAAAUCAUUGCAAGUAGGAAGACCUACUUUUAAUGCAAAUCUUUUGAGGUGGGAUAAUCUACCUUUAAUCUGGGCCACACCUACUGCUGACAGCCUAUAUAAAGGACAUGGAAGAAAGAAGCCAGCUCUCUACCUCCUUGGCUUCACUCACUCUCCCUGGCAAGUCCACUCCCUCAUGGGCAUUAGACACUACUUCUUUUGGAUUGUGGUGUAUCCUGAAGACCGGCUGAGCUUUCUGGCCUCAUGAACUGAAUGACUAUUAGAUUCUUGGACCUUCUGUUAGUAGACAACUAUUGUAGUAUUAGUUGGACCACAGCCUUUAAGCCAUUUUAAUUAAUCACAUAUAUAUGUGAAAUAUUAAUAUAAAAUUAAAUAUAAUUAUUUGAUAUAAAAUAGUUAAAUAUAAUUUGAUGUUCAUAGUAGAACAUAUUUAUUAUACAUACAUUGUUUAUUAAUCAGUUCCGUUCCUCUAGAAAACCUUGACUAAUACAAUGGCCUUUGAAAUUAACAUUUUUAUGCAUUGUUUUCUUUGUUUUAACCACAAACUUUUUUAGUAAUUGGAACUGUCUCUAACAAAUCUGAGACUGUGAGGCCACCUGUUGUGUAAAUAUUGCCUCCGAAUUGAAACAUUCCCUCCUGCAGUGAAGAUGAAUUCUCUGAAGGCUUAGGAAGCUAAUCAAACGUGUGUGACUCAGAAAGCUCAGAAAGUUAGAAAACUCAGUUGCAUAUGCUGUAAACAAGCUGGGUGAGGAGGGGACUGUGAGGUGGAGUUUCCUGCAAGCUGAUCAGGGAGUGCCAAAGUGCUAGAGAAAACUAUUCCUCCAUGAAACAGCACCCACACUUCUGUAAGCAACCCCAACAUUCUGGUUCAACAGCCUAGACUUGAAUGAAAUUAUCUCUUCAGCCUGUGACUGGGGCCCUAAGUGGGGUGAAUAGAAGAUUGUUCUUAUGACAUCACUUUCCUAAAUAAGAGAAAUGGAGGAGCAAAACAGACUCCUUAUCAGGAAGUAUUAAAGAAAACAAAAAUUGAUAGAGAAGUUUUGAGAAAUACUGGAGGGAAGCCAUAGUUAAGUAUUUUUCUGGGAGCCCAGAGAGUGAGUGUACCAGCAAAGACCUUCAUCUCCCUCAGAAUUGAUGAGGGGGUUUUGUUGCUGUUGUUUUUUUGUUUGUUUACUAACUGGAAUACUGUUUGGGACAGCUGUGUGUUUUACUAAAGAGGAUGAGAAGAAACACUUUAAGUCAGACUUUGGUGUAUCAGGCUGAGACAAUCUAAAAGGAAGUCUGGCUUAGCAAAGAAAAUCUGACUCAGCAGGAAAAGUGCUGAUUCAGCCAAAAACAAAAGCCAGCCUUUAUCAUUGUUUGCUUUUUCUUCUUGAACAGCCUGACAUACAUUUCAUAGUGAGCCCUUCAAUUAGAAUGUAUUUUGAAUUUGAUUUUUGAUUAGAAAAAUGGUACACACUAAGGUAGGCAUGGUAGGAAGUUGAAGGCCAGCCUGGACUGCAUUGUAAAAGCUUGUUUGGAAGAGAAAAGAAAGAGAAGAAACAAUAAAAAAUGCUCAAACAUCCUCAAAUAACAAAAUGCUUCCAAAAAUCCUUGAAUCUGCUUCAACACUCACUGCAUUUUGCUUUACAGUCCUGUCUGAGCUUUUGUUUCUUUCCUUCAUUGUUGUUAUUAUUGUUUUUUUUUAUUUUAUAGAUUCAGCCUGAGGCAGCCUGUGGACGUAAGGAAAGACAUGAGCACUGUGUCCAGUUACCUUGGUAACACAUGCCUGACACACCAACACUUAUAUUUCAGGUCACGCAUCAGCCGUUUGCAUUGCUAGGACCCAGCAGACCCUGUUAGUUAGCACAUGACAUUCUGGAAUUCCCAAGGAUUCACCUUGGGGUAGAAUAAUGACAGGAUGGUAUAGAUACAACCAAACUCAAGAACUGGACACACUUGUAGCUCUUAGCAAAAGACAAGAGAGAGCAGGGUCCUACGAAAUAAUAGCAUUUUAGGUAAAAUUGAAGUGACAUGUCCUGUACCACGGUCUAGCCAUCUUGAAUGUGCCCAAUGUGUUCUAAAGGAAAAGAAGCUUGUGCAGGUUAAACAUGGAGAGCUGCCAAGCUUUAGAUAUUGAUGUGGAGUUUUACCACCCCACACCCCUACCCCAGAGGCAUCAUGGGAACCUUGCGGUGAGAUUACCAUGAGUAUAGCAAGUAUCUAUCAAUUUGCUGAAAGAGUGCAUGGAGGUGCUUAACUUGGUGAUGGCAGCCUAUGAGCUUUUCAGCUUCUGCAUUUCUUACAAGAAACUCAAAUAUGAGUUUCAACCCAAGUAAUACUGAAGCGGGUGGGAACCACACUCUUUUUUUUUUCUUUUCUUCAGAGCUGGGGACCGAACCCAGGGCCUUGCGCUUGCUAGGCAAGCGCUCUACCACUGAGGUAAAUCCCCAACCCCAGGAACCACACUCUUGAACACACAGUUCUCAUUCAUGAAGAAUUCAAUCUUUUCAUAUCCUGAGAUGAGAACUAAUAUCCAAUAAAAGACUACUGGCUUAUCUUUUUAAAAAAUGACAAUUCUUUAGAAGCUGUCUGGCUGUCAGGUAUGUGACUCCAUGGUAAUCCAAAAUAUCAUGGCAUACUUGGUUAUAUACUUCUAGGUCCCUGUGCCUUAGGCUGAACAGUGUAGGUUUGUCCAAUAACACACAAUUGUGGGGAAAGUCAGGGGCUAGAGGGCUAAUACUAGGUCUAUGGGAUGGCUUCUCCUUCUAUGCCCUAGUACUCGAUAAGGUGUUUGCACAGAGAACAGUUGAGAAUGAGUUUAACAGAUGUGUAACUUCUUUUAAGUGGGUCCCAUAUUCUGGUCUAGAUUGUGAGUCUUAAGAGAUCUUCUGUAAUCUGUACUAGAGCUGGUAUUCUAGCUCUAAGGCUUAGUUUUGGACACAUUCCUGUUUCACACUGUCACCAAACAUUUUCUCUUUGAUGGAGGUUUCAAUUCUAAAUCUCAUUCAAUACUCUCCACUAGCAAUUCACCAAAAUUAUCCAAGACCCAUCUAAUUGUAUAAAACCACAUACAGUCAGUGAGGUCCCCACUGCUAAGGACUUGAUAGUCAAAAGGAAAGGCUCAUAUAUUUCUGUCAUGUGACAGAACUGAUAAGAUACAAUCACACCGAUUUCAAAGCUUGUCUCCUGGGUUAAAAGUAACAUACACAUAUUUCAAAUGUUCCUUAACCUAUGAUGGGGUCACAUCCUGAUAAACCCACCAUAAACUGAAAGAAUUGUUAAGUCUAAAUGUUCAAGCGCCAAAUGUACUUAGUAUAUCUAGUAUACGAAAUAUUGUAGUCUUGGACACACUCAGAAAACACAUAUUAGCUUGAUGGCUGGCAGAUACUGUACAUGAAUCCUGCUGUUUCGUCAAGUGUUGAGCAGCUCAUGACAGUUGUCGACUAUUGGUACUGAAAGUCAACAAGAGAACAGAUGUGUAGGUCUGCCUUUCAUUCUGUUCCAAGGCUGAAAACCAUUUGGUUGAGCUACCAUAAAUUGGGAACCUCACAUAGUUUGGGGUCAAGGCACUGAGCUGACUGAAAGAAGAGGUCAGGGUGGGUGGUGAGGUUUGAGGACUUUGGAUCACUGCCUCAGGAUGACAGAAGAAACCUAGUUUUCUUCAAGUCUGUAACCAUGUAAUCAAGGGAGGACCUUAAAGUAUAGAAUGGUGAGUCUUGGUCUGCUCUCCAACCUUGUGCCUUGGACUUAGUAGGUAAGCAGUCUACCACUGAGGUACAUGCCCAGCCUCGGCUUUACAACCCUCUGAGCCAAGCUGAUAAAUCAACAGACUGAGUCUGUGCUCAGAGGGCAAGUCUUGGCCAAGAGACACACCGGACAGCCUCAGCUGUUGUACUUUAAGCCUAAGUCCUCUCUCAUCCCCUCCGAGAUAAGUGACUUAGUGGGAGAGAUAAAGUUUGACUAAACGUUUCUUCAAAGCAGCAGAAUGAGCCUCUUCUGCUUGCCAUGGAACACUGAUUUCUAAAAAAAAAAAAAAAAAAAAAAAAAAAAAAAAAAAA